rnacentral:lncRNA from 1 species
AAAGACAGUCACCAUGGCAGCCGGGCGUCACAGCUACCCAGUUCUGGAGUGGAUUCAUCCCAAGAUGCCCUGCGGUUGCUCUUUCUCUUUUUAAUUUUAAGCUGCAACAUGGGGGAUAUUUUCAACGAUUGACUAACCUACCCUCAAAGGGAAAAAAUCCUGCUCUAGUUACCUGUUGGUUGCGUCAAAAUCAAAGGUGAAGAAACCUUGAAGAACAUCGACGGAAAUGAAUUUAAAUGAAAUUAAAGACGAA